GGUGGGCUCUCUGGGUAUUAUGCUCAACUAUUUUUUAAAAAAGAUUUUUUCUCUCCUCUCUUCUCCUUCUUCUUGGGCCCUACAUCUACAUGAAUAGUAGGCUGUUUGAGGUUGUUCUGAAGCUCACUGUUUGUUUUUUUCUUUUUCUCUGUUUCAUUUUGAAAAGUUUCUAUUGAUGUGUCUUCAAAUUCACUAAUGCUUUCUUCCACAAUGUCUAAUCUAAUGUUAAUACCAUUUAGUGUAUUUUUCAUCUCAUGUACCAUGUUGCACUUUUCAACCUUAGAAGUUUGAUUCGAAUCUUUUUUAUAUCACCAUCUAUGUCUUUCCCUACCAUACUAAUGAUUUCUUCUACUUUCAACACAUGGAUUAUAAUUAUAAUACCUGUUUUAAUGAUCAUGAUUCUAUUAUCUGUAUCAUUAUGAGUCAAUUUUAGUUGAUUUUCUUCAUCUUUUUAGGUUAUAUUUUUGUAUGUCUGGUAAUUUUUUUUGAAUGCCAAUAGUUGUGAACUCUACAUUUUUAGGUGCUGCAUAUGCUUUAAUUUCUUUGCAUGUACUUAAUAUUUGUUCUAGAAUAUAGUUAAUUUCCUUGGAUACAUUUGAUUGUUUCAAGCCCUGUUUUAAGUUUUGUUAUGCAGGUUAACAAAGUCUAGGUCUGAUUUUUUUCCCCUAUUACUAAUAUACUAUAUUUCUGAGUACUCUCCUGGUUCCCCUGUAUUAUUACAAGGUUUUUUCAUACCAGUUGGUGGGUUCACCAAAUAUUUCUGAAUCUCUGUGAGCUCUGAAGAUUGUCCCACCCACUCCUUUUGAGUGGUUGAAUAGAAAAAUAACAAACUCAUUUUCUCCUAUAUUCUCACAUCACUUAUGGUAUCUGAUACCAAGGCAAGCAGUUAGUUCUGUAGUGGACACUUGCUGGAUGCCUUCCAAUUCAAUCUUGAGAAUAUCUACAUGAGAUAGUGUCAGAUCCCACAGGUUGAGGGUUCAUUCUCAUAGGACUUCUCCCCACUUUCAGCAUCAACCACAAGCUCCAGAUUGCUUCACCUGUGCUUCUGAAGGACUGGCUAUAAUUCAGGGUUCCCAUAACCCCCACCUUGGGUUCAAUUAAUUUGCUAAAUAAGCUCAUAAAACUCAGGGAAAUACCCUUACCAGUUUAUUGUAAAAGAUACUGCAAAGCAUACAAGUAAAGAAAUGCUAGGCCAAGCGAUAUAGAGAGAGGCAAGGGGUUCCCAUGCCCUCUCUGGGUGCCCUCACCCUCUAGGAACCUCCAUGUGUCCAGCAAUCCAGAAGAUCUCUGAACGCUGUUCUUUUGGACUUUUAUGGAAGCUUCAUCACACAGUGGUUCUUUUCCCAGUCUUGGGUAGUUCCCCCCCCUCCCCCCGGAUGCAUGUGCUGAUCACUGCUCAGCUGAAGAAUCUCUAUGGUUGGAAUCCAGUCAUGAUCAAGAUCGUCACCAAGUGCUUCCCUGUGCACAUCCUCACACAGCUGGGUAUUGCGUCAGUCCUGAUCGGCCUUUCAAGAAAGGUGCUGGAAACCAGAAAGUGCUCAGGAGAGAGCUGCCAGCAUGGCACAGGAUCCGGAAACUGAAAUAAAUGAAGAACAAGCAAAAGAACAUAGAAUCUCUGGUUUGGAGAAGAGAAUACUCUGUUAAAUUGAGGGCUAGAAGUUGCUUGUAAUGCAGAAUUGGGAGCUGAUAUGGAUAAUUUGGGAUUUGCAAAGAUGAUAACAUAAUAAAAUUUAAGGCUAUUUAA